rnacentral:rRNA from 1 species
AUUGAACGCUGGCGGCAGGCCUAACACAUGCAAGUCGAACGAGUGGCGGACGGGUGAGUAAUGUCUGGGAAACUGCCCGAUGGAGGGGGAUAAAUACUGGAAACGGUAGCUAAUACCGCAUACCAUCGGAUGUGCCCAGAUGGGAUUAGCGAGUAGGUGGGGUAAAGGCUCACCUAGGCGACGAUCCCGAGCUGGUAUGAGAGGAUGACCCGCCCCACUUGAACUUGGACACGGUCCAGACUCCUACGGGGUGCAGCAGUGGGGAAUAUUUCACAAUGGGCGCCAGCCUGAUGCAGCCAUGCCGCGUGUAUGAAGAAGGCCUUCGGGUUGUAAAGUACUUUCAGCGGGGAGGCGUUACCCGCAGAAUAAGCACCGGCUAACUCCGUGCCAGCAGCCGCGGUAAUAC